rnacentral:misc_RNA from 1 species
AUCUUGCAUGUUCAUGUGGAUCAUAUAAUCAUGUUUAAUUUGAGGGAAUACACAACUCUGCACAUAUUCAGUUUUCUAUCUCUCAUAUUUUUAUUAUUUUUUGUUAUCUGCAAAAAUUUUAGGAAAAUUAUAUUCAUAUUCUUUACGAAAUUAUAUUAAUUUUAGGCUCAAGAAUCAUAAAAAAAGCUUUAAUAUUUUGUAAG